CUCCUUCCUCUGCCCUCUACUUUGGUGUGUCUGUCUUUGUUGGAGCUCCUCUUGGGCGCUAACUGCUUCUUGCGAUAGCUGAUAAAGAAGAAAAU